GAUGAAGAACGUAGCGAAAUGCGAUAAGUAAUGUGAAUUGCAGAAUUCAGUGAAUCAUCGAAUCUUUGAACGCAUCUUGCGCUCCUUGGUAUUCUGAGGAGCAUGCCUGUUUGAGUGUCAUUAAAUUCUCAACUACACUGACUUUGAAUUGGUGUGGCUUGGAUUUGGGGGGAAAAUUGUUGUGGGCUUUUUGUAUAGUCUGCUCCCCUGAAAUUGAUUAGCGGUACCUUUGUGGAACUGUCUACAGGUGUGAUAAUUAUCUACAUCUUAGACAUCUGCUGGAAUGCUGCUUUCUAAACCUUACUUGUAUUGACAAUCUUGACCUCAAAUCAGGUAGGACUACCCGCUGAACUUAAGCUUAUCAAUAAGCGGAGGA
rnacentral:misc_RNA from 1 species